UUGGAGGGCAAGUCUGGUGCCAGCAGCCGCGGUAAUUCCAGCUCCAAUAGCGUAUAUUAAAGUUGUUGCAGUUAAAAAGCUCGUAGUUGAAUUUCGGAAUCCAUCCGUCGGUCGGGCUUCACGGUCCGCACUGGUGUGAUGGAUUCCUACCUUCUGAAUAACCAGCAUGUCAUUAAUUUGGUGCGUUGGGGAAGCAGGACUGUUACCUUGAAAAAAUUAGAGUGCUUAAAGCAGGCUAGUGCCUGAAUACAUUAGCAUGGAAUAAUGAAAUAGGACGGCAUGGUUCUAUUUUGUUGGUUUCUAGGAUCACCGUAAUGAUUAAUAGGGAUAGUUGGGGGCAUUAGUAUUCAAUUGUCAGAGGUGAAAUUCUUGGAUUUAUUGAAGACUAACUUCUGCGAAAGCAUUUGUCAAGGAUGUUUUCAUUAAUCAAGAACGAAAGUUAGGGGAUCGAAGACGAUCAGAUACCGUCGUAGUCUUAACCAUAAACUAUGCCGACUAGGGAUCGGACGAAGUUAAUUUUAUAAUGACUCGUUCGGCGCCUUACGGGAAAC
rnacentral:rRNA from 1 species